AAGACUGUACUCACUAGGAUCAUUUCUAUAGUAUAUGUCUUUCCUACUUACGACCUAAGUAGCAACGAACACAAACCAUGAUGAUGAGGUGUAGUUUCCUCCUCUGAGCGUGAAGUAGGUCUCAGGUGAGUCUCCAUUUAUAAGGAGCAGGACCUGAGACAUUGAGGAGUGUUCAUUUGUCCUCCUUUGUGAGAGGACAAGGAGGGGGAGGAAACAUCCAGAGUGGU